AUUGAACGCUGGCGGCAUGCCUUACACAUGCAAGUCGAACGGCAGCACGGGCUUCGGUCUGGUGGCGAGUGGCGAACGGGUGAGUAAAGUAUCGGAACGUGCCCUAGAGUGGGGGAUAACGUAGCGAAAGUUACGCUAAUACCGCAUAUUCUGUGAGCAGGAAAGCAGGGGAUCGCAAGACCUUGCGCUGAUUGAGCGGCCGAUAUCAGAUUAGCUAGUUGGUGAGGUAAAGGCUCACCAAGGCGACGAUCUGUAGCGGGUCUGAGAGGAUGAUCCGCCACACUGGAACUGAGACACGGUCCAGACUCCUACGGGAGGCAGCAGUGGGGAAUUUUGGACAAUGGGCGCAAGCCUGAUCCAGCCAUGCCGCGUGAGUGAAGAAGGCCUCGGUUGUAAG
rnacentral:rRNA from 1 species